AACGUAGGACACAAGCGUUAUCCGGAGUUACUGGGCGUAAAGGGCGUGUAGGCGGACCUAUAAGUCUAUUCUGAAAGCUCCUGGCUAAACUGGGAGAGGCGAAUGGAGACUGUAGAUCUAGAGUGAGGAAGAGGAAAGUGGAAUUCCGCGUGUAGCGGUGAAAUGCGCAGAUAUCGGGAAGAACACCCGUGGCGAAGGCGGCUCUCUAGUACGGUACUGACGCUGAGACGCGAAAGCGUGGGGAGCGAACAGG
rnacentral:rRNA from 1 species